rnacentral:tRNA from 1 species
UCAGGACGUAGCGCAGUGGUUAGCGUAUCUGUUUUGGGUACAGAAGGUCGCGUGUUCAAAUCACGCAGUCCUGAA